CACCCUCAGCGUCUGGGACCCCCGGGCAGAGGGUCACCAUCUCUUGUUCUGGAAGCAGCUCCAACAUCGGAAGUAAUACUGUAAACUGGUACCAGCAGCUCCCAGGAACGGCCCCCAAACUCCUCAUCUAUAGUAAUAAUCAGCGGCCCUCAGGGGUCCCUGACCGAUUCUCUGGCUCCAAGUCUGGCACCUCAGCCUCCCUGGCCAUCAGUGGGCUCCAGUCUGAGGAUGAGGCUGAUUAUUACUGUGCAGCAUGGGAUGACAGCCUGAAUGGUGUGGUAUUCGGCGGAGGGACCAAGCUGACCGUCCUAGGU
rnacentral:lncRNA from 1 species